AAGUCAGCCCAGGAGACUGGGCCAGCUUCAGGGAGGCUGCCUGUCUGUGAGAGGGCCAGCGCCUUCCUCACUUGGGCAAGUCCCCUGCACAUGACCUCAUUUUAGGACCAAGAGCUAUGUUGGUUUCUUAGAUUGUUAGCUUUUUCUCUAGAGGACCACAGUGGGUAUGGCUUGGAGUCCAGGGCCCUUGGCUAUACAAACAAUAUUUAGGUCCUUGUCCAGGGGAGAACUUCGUGUAUGCCAUGUCAGCCCCACUUUUUGUCGUUGUUUUCCAUGAGGCUUUUUUGGACCAUGGUCGGAGCUUAGGCACUUUCUGUAAGAAUGUUUCUGUAAAGAUGGUUAUUUAACGCUUCCUAGUCCCCAUCAUGUUAGUCCUCCAGAGCGCUAACCCAGAGGCCAGUGGAACUGCCCAGGUGUCCACAGAGGGGCUGCAGCCUGCAGAGAACUGCUCCAGCCCCCCUCCACCUUAGUAGCAUGUGUGGACCACCAGGCAUCUGACUGCCCUUGACCAGCCUCGGGUAGGAGGGCUGCCUCUGUCCCCAUGACUGCUUUCCUUUGCCACCCAUACUUGUUUGAAGUUGUGCUGACAGCUUUUUUUUUUGUACCCUUUCCCGUUCCCAGUUUGCGUUGGAAUUGGCAGCAGCCAGGGACUUGCUAUUGAUGAAUUUUACAUUAAAUAGUCCUGUUGCCUUACCUGU
rnacentral:lncRNA from 1 species